rnacentral:rRNA from 1 species
UACGUAGGGUGCGAGCGUUAAUCGGAAUUACUGGGCGUAAAGGGCGCGUAGGCGGCCUUCUAAGUCGAACGUGAAAUCCCCGGGCUCAACCCGGGAACUGCGUCCGAUACUGGAAGGCUUGAAUCCGGGAGAGGGAUGCGGAAUUCCGAGGUGUAGCGGUGAAAUGCGUAGAUAUCUGGAGGAACACCGGUGGCGAAGGCGGCGAGAUCCUCG